rnacentral:rRNA from 1 species
AUUGAACGCUGGCGGCAGGCCUAACACAUGCAAGUCGAACGGUAACAGGAAACAGCUUGCUGUUUCGCUGACGAGUGGCGGACGGGUGAGUAAUGUCUGGGAAACUGCCAGAUGGAGGGGGAUAACUACUGGAAACGGUAGCUAAUACCGCAUAACGUCGCAAGACCAAAGAGGGGGACCUUCGGGCCUCUUGCCAUCGGAUGUGCCCAGAUGGGAUUGGCUAGUUGGUGGGGUAACGGCUCACCAAGGCGACGAUCCCUAGCUGGUCUGAGAGGAUGACCAGCCACACUGGAACUGAGCCACGGUCCAGACUCCUACGGGAGGCAGCAGUGGGGAAUAUUGCACAAUGGGCGCAAGCCUGAUGCAGCCAUGCCGCGCGUAUGAAGAAGGCCUUCGGGUUGUAAAGUACUUUCAGCGGGGAGGAAGGGAGUAAAGUUAAUACCUUUGCCCAUUGACGUUACCCGCAGAAGAAGCACCGGCUAACUCCGUGCCAGCCGCCGCCGUAA